ACAAUACAUGUGCUGGGUUGAGAAUUGCCAACCUCACCUCAAAUCAUACAGGAACAUACUAUUGCAGAGCACAAGUUGAAAUACCCAGACUAAUAAGAGGAAACGGCAGUGGAGCAGUGCUGUGUGUACACGAAGUGAAGAGUAACAGCUCCUUGGGUUCAGGCACUGUUGUAGGUGUUGUUCUCGCAGUGUUGUUUGUGCUGAUUAUAAUUGCCCUUCUGUGGAAUUGGAAAAUACUGAUGUCAAAAGGAGAAGCCCGAGAUGAAGGGGAUACUGCUGCAGUUUAUGAAAGCAUUUUAGAGAUGAAGGCAAUGAAGGAGCCACAGGAGCCACAGGACAUAGAGUCGAAUUCCUCCUCCUCCCGGGGGUCCACACAAUGGGCUGAGAUUGAGGUCUAUGAAUCAUGUGACUAUGUUGCUGUGAAGAGAAAUGAAUAGGUGGAUGACAGAUGAGGGCCAUGGUCGGACUGUCAACACUUCCCACUUGCAUAGACAAAACAGCCAAAGGAGAACUUGUAUCUAAUUAAAACAGAUUAAUGGUUCUUUCUAUAGGAUUUCAACAGCCUGUGAAUGAUAUGUAUGGACACUGAAAACCAAAUAUUGGGAUUUCAAGAGUCCUUAAUAAAUGAAAUUCAUUAAAUGAAUAUUACAUUAAGCAGUAAGAAACAAGCCACAAACCAACACAAAGUACCAGUACAUUAUUCAGUGCACUUGGUGUUGGAGUGACACAUGGGACCAAAACUACAGUUGGUAAAAAAAAAAAAAAAGUUAAACUUGUAAUAAA